AUCCUUAGUCUGCUCUUCUAAAUGGAUACAUGAAAUCACCUAUAGCUUAUUUUAAAUUUUUUUGCGCCAGGUUUGUGAAGUAAUUUACGCAGUAAAAAGCAUAUACAAUUUGCAAGAAUGAUAUGUUCUAUGUUUACGGGAUAUUUCGUACAAACGGGAUGGAAAUUAAAGAAAUUGAAGCAUACUGGCACUUUUGCAUGCAUUUUUGACAGGCAUGCAAAGACAUUUGCAACAGAUGCCGGGAGAUACGUUGGGUGGGGGCAACAUACUGUAAGGUUCCAGCACAUUACCCUGAUCCAGGAAAUCCUGUCCACUACAUGAACGUGUUCAAGACUCAGAAUAUGCUAAAUGAUGGACAACAACAACCUGUUGAUAAUUCCACCCCUAGAGCCAAUUUAAAAUGUUUUAAAGACGGUGCCAUUUCAUCUGGCGCUAGUGAGAUGAAAGAAGCAUCAGAUCGGUAGAGGAGAAGCACUUGAGUAUAUCAGACAUCUUGAGGAACUGCAAAUUGUAUCUAUGAUAAGAGAGAAUUCCGGAUUGUACUCCUUCGUUUCCGAAUUCUAGAGGGGGGGGGCAUUGAAAAUUUUAAAAACUUGGGGGGGGGGCAUCGAAACUUACCGAUAACCUUAACAGGGACCCUGUAAAAAUAUGAGCUUUUUUCAAGACAUCUUCAUCCCCCUCCCUCGGUGUAAUAAAUGUACUUUCCCUUAAGUCAAUUGUCAGUAUCAGCUCACUUCAAC